rnacentral:rRNA from 1 species
UACGUAGGGCGCAAGCGUUGUCCGGAAUCAUUGGGCGUAAAGAGCUCGUAGGCGGCCUGUUGCGUCCGCUGUGAAAUCCCGGGGCUUAACCCCGGGCGUGCAGUGGAUACGGGCUGGCUGGAGGCAGGCAGGGGAGAACGGAAUUCCCGGUGUAGCGGUGAAAUGCGCAGAUAUCGGGAGGAACACCGGUGGCGAAGGCGGUUCUCUGGGACGGUACUGACGCUGAGACGCGAAAGCGUGGGGAGCAAACAGG